rnacentral:rRNA from 1 species
UAAAUUUUUAGUACUUUCUGCUCAAUGUAAUAUAUAAAUUGCCGCAGUAUAACAACUGUGCUAAGGUAGCAUAAUAACUUGCCUAUUAAUUGUAGGCUAGCAUGAAUGAAAACACGAAAUUUUAGCUGUCUCAUAAAAUAACUAAAAAAUUUAUAUUAAGAUGAAAAAGUCUUAAUUAAUACGUAAGACAAGAAGACCCUAUGAGCUUAAAUUAAAACUAAUAUUAUAUAUUAAAAUAAAUUUUGGUUGGGGCGACCAAUAUAAAUAAAUCAAUAUAAUAUAAAAAUAACAUACAAGUCAUUAAUAUAAUAAAUACUAUAUGAACCUUUAUGAUCUACGAUAAAGUUACCAUAGGGAUAACAGACUAAUUUUUUUCUAAAGUUCAUAUUAAAAAAAAAGAUUGGCACCUCGAUGUUGGCUUAUUAAAUUAAUUCAGAGCAAGCACUGAAUAAAAAGGUUUGUU